UUUAAUGGAGAGUUUGAUCCUGGCUCAGGACGAACGCUGGCGGCGUGCCUAAUACAUGCAAGUCGAGCGGGGUUAAUUAGAAGCUUGCUUCUAAUUAACCUAGCGGCGGACGGGUGAGUAACACGUAGGCAACCUGCCCACAAGACAGGGAUAACUACCGGAAACGGUAGCUAAUACCCGAUACAUCCUUUUUCUGCAUGGGAGAAGGAGGAAAGGCGGAGCAAUCUGUCACUUGUGGAUGGGCCUGCGGCGCAUUAGCUAGUUGGUGGGGUAAAGGCCUACCAAGGCGACGAUGCGUAGCCGACCUGAGAGGGUGAUCG
rnacentral:rRNA from 1 species